GACGGAGGAUGCAAGGCGUUAUCCGGAAUGAUUGGGCGUAAAGCGUCCGCAGGUGGCAGUUCAAGUUCUGCUGUCAAAGACCGGGGCUUAACUUCGGAAAGGCAGUGGAAACUGAACAGCUAGAGUAUGGUAGGGGCAGAGGGAAUUCCUGGUGUAGCGGUGAAAUGCGUAGAGAUCAGGAAGAACAUCGGUGGCGAAGGCGCUCUGCUGGACCAUAACUGACACUCAGGGACGAAAGCUAGGGGAGCGAAUGGGA
rnacentral:rRNA from 1 species